AAUAAGUGCAAUUGCUCAAUAAAAAGAGGGUAGACAUAACGGUGGUGCAGAGCGUGCUACCAUGUCAGUUUCACUAUAUUCAGAAAAAUCAGUAAAUAAUGCGCAGCUGCAGUACGACUGGAUACCCACAGAAGUACAAGGAAAAAACGAUGAGAAAUGGUCUACUUUACCCAAACAUGGAUGAAUCGUUCUAACACCAGUGAAUUGACGUCCGCUCAACUCGCAAGUCACGCGCAAGGCACACAAGCGCAGGCCCAAGGUCGUCCUUCAGCAGCCGUCCCGUGCGCGCUAGUAUCCAAGAAGAGAGAGCAGCAGCUCCUAAGCAGCUCGGCAUACCGGCGAGUGACCACUGGUGGCCUGCGACGACGAGGACGCCUUGAGCAACAUGAGCCAUGCAGACGAUCUGUGAUUUUUUUGUGAAAUUUGCUACAUAGUUUACCUCUCUUUUCUGAUCUAAUCGAGGUGUUGUUCUGUACAUCAUUGUUGAUGCAUUUUCUGCAAUUUGGGGAAGGACAAUCAUACUGCAAAAAAAGUACAGAUUUCAUAAUCGUGAAGUAUAAGUUAUUCGUGUGGAGAGCAA